rnacentral:rRNA from 1 species
GACGAACGCUGGCGGCGUGCUUAACACAUGCAAGUCGAACGGAAAGGCCCUGCUGUUGUGGGGUGCUCGAGUGGCGAACGGGUGAGUAACACGUGAGUAACCUGCCCUUGACUUUGGGAUAACUUCAGGAAACUGGGGCUAAUACCGGAUAGGAGCUCCUGCUGCAUGGUGGGGGUUGGAAAGUUUCGGCGGUUGGGGAUGGACUUGCGGCUUAUCAGCUUGUUGGUGGGGUAGUGGCUUACCAAGGCUUUGACGGGUAGCCGGCCUGAGAGGGUGACCGGCCACAUUGGGACUGAGAUACGGCCCAGACUCCUACGGGAGGCAGCAGUGGGGAAUAUUGCACAAUGGGCGGAAGCCUGAUGCAGCAACGCCGCGUGCGGGAUGACGGCCUUCGGGUUGUAAACCGCUUUCGCCUGUGACGAAGCGUGAGUGACGGUAAUGGGUAAAGAAGCACCGGCUAACUACGUG